AUCUCCGAUGUAAUCCCCCGCCCCAACCCUUUUCUCUCCGCUGCUCCAUCCACUCCGGCGAAACCCCAACCCUUUUCCCUCCGCUGCUCCCUCCACUCCGGCAAAACCCCAACGCAGUGGUUUCAAGCAUAACAAGAGAGAAUGAUGAUCAAGAAUCUCCAGAAACUCGAACAAUUGUCUGAAGCAGAUCCUAAUGUCGAUUUCAAGAAACCCCAGUUAGGGUUUUUGAAAAAGACUGAUGAUCAUCACAAGAAUCAUCAUGUAUGAAUAUUCAAAUACCUAUUCACUUUCUUGACACAACGUCAUCACAAGAAUCAUCAUGUAUAUUCAAAGCACAAGAAGCAAGGCGUAACUGAGGACUCCAGGGAAWYGAAUGUGAAUACAGGAAAUUCACGUAGGAGUAUAAGUGGGCGGUGUCAUUACGGCGAUUGCCCAUAGGAGUAUCGUCUUAAAAUAACAAACAUAAAUCAAAGCCCAUCAUUCAAGAAUAACUGAAUAGGUGUCCUUGUGGAGCUUGUGAUAACAAAGAUUGUUCUUGAAAUUCUAAACCCACUUUUCGUUCUCGAAUGGGSAUGAAUUUUAGUAGGAAAUAAACUGGUAAMAUCUCUGUCAUGUUUUUUCAGCUUUUCCUGGAUUUUGGUAUUGGUAUGAAGAUUUUGUCGAGCCUCGUUAUGAAGAUGAGUGGAUUGUUGACUUGACAUGUUAUGAGGUGUGACUUAUUUUGAAUCCAGUAUGCACUCAAUUUGAUUACGUUUUUGCUCUUGGCAAGCUGCUAUUUCCUCCGGUGACUCAGGUGUCCUCUAAAAAGGUUCUAACUGAUUCCUGCCUWGACGUUGUAAAUCGUUUUCUUUACAUUUGCGGCCCUUGGAGGUUUUGCGUUUCUGCAUCAACUUUUGCAUCUUUCUAAUUCCAUGUCUUCCGUAUGAUGUUUUAAAUCUUAUUUUGUAGAUCAAGGUUUUAGUCGGUUUCAUGCAUUUUGGUCUGAUUUGCCUUCACGAUCGAGGGAGGUUGGAUUGUUUUCUUAUAGUAUAACAAUAAUUUGCGAAGUUUGAAUUGUAGUACACACUUUGCCAAUUUUUACUUUUUUACGUAAUGAGUUAUUCGUUUUCA